rnacentral:rRNA from 1 species
UACGUAGGGUGCAAGCGUUAUCCGGAAUUAUUGGGCGUAAAGAGCUCGUAGGCGGUUUGUCGCGUCUGCUGUGAAAACCUAAGGCUCAACCUUGGGCUUGCAGUGGGUACGGGCAGACUAGAGUGCGGUAGGGGGUGACUGGAAUUCCUGGUGUAGCGGUGGAAUGCGCAGAUAUCAGGAGGAACACCGAUGGCGAAGGCAGGUCACUGGGCCGCAACUGACGCUGGAGGAGCGAAAAGCAUGGGGAGCGAACAGG